rnacentral:rRNA from 1 species
UACAGGCUUAACACAUGCAAGUCGAGGGGAAACGAUAUUGGAAGCUUGCUUCCGAUAGGCGUCGACCGGCGCACGGGUGAGUAACGCGUAUCCAACCUGCCCACCACUUGGGGAUAACCUUGCGAAAGUAAGACUAAUACCCAAUGAAAUCUCUAGAAGACAUCUGAAAGAGAUUAAAGAUUUAUCGGUGAUGGAUGGGGAUGCGUCUGAUUAGCUUGUUGGCGGGGUAACGGCCCACCAAGGCAACGAUCAGUAGGGGUUCUGAGAGGAAGGUCCCCCACAUUGGAACUGAGACACGGUCCAAACUCCUACGGGAGGCAGCAGUGAGGAAUAUUGGUCAAUGGGCGAGAGCCUGAACCAGCCAAGUAGCGUGCAGGAAGACGGCCCUAUGGGUUGUAAACUGCUUUUAUAAGGGAAUAAAGUGGGAGUCGUGACUCUUUUUGCAUGUACCUUAUGAAUAAGGACCGGCUAAUUCCGUGCCAGCAGCCGCGGUAAUACGGAAGGUCCGGGCGUUAUCCGGAUUUAUUGGGUUUAAAGGGAGCGUAGGUCGGAGAUUAAGCGUGUUGUGAAAUGUAGAUGCUCAACGUCUGCACUGCAGCGCGAACUGGUUUCCUUGAGUACGCACAAAGUGGGCGGAAUUCGUGGUGUAGCGGUGAAAUGCUUAGAUAUCACGAAGAACUCCGAUUGCGAAGGCAGCUCACUGGAGCGCAACUGACGCUGAAGCUCGAAAGUGCGGGUAUCGAACAGGAUUAGAUACCCUGGUAGUCCGCACGGUAAACGAUGGAUGCCCGCUGUUGGUCUGAAUAGGUCAGCGGCCAAGCGAAAGCAUUAAGCAUCCCACCUGGGGAGUACGCCGGCAACGGUGAAACUCAAAGGAAUUGACGGGGGCCCGCACAAGCGGAGGAACAUGUGGUUUAAUUCGAUGAUACGCGAGGAACCUUACCCGGGCUUGAAUUGCAGAGGAAGGAUUUGGAGACAAUGACGCCCUUCGGGGUCUCUGUGAAGGUGCUGCAUGGUUGUCGUCAGCUCGUGCCGUGAGGUGUCGGCUUAAGUGCCAUAACGAGCGCAACCCCUCUCCUUAGUUGCCAUCAGGUCACGCUGGGCACUCUGGGGACACUGCCACCGUAAGGUGUGAGGAAGGUGGGGAUGA